rnacentral:rRNA from 1 species
AUACGUAGGGUGCAAGCGUUAAUCGGAAUUACUGGGCGUAAAGCGUGCGCAGGCGGUUUUGUAAGACAGUGGUGAAAUCCCCGGGCUCAACCUGGGAACUGCCAUUGUGACUGCAAGGCUGGAGUGCGGCAGAGGGGGAUGGAAUUCCGCGUGUAGCCGUGAAAGGCGUAGAUAUGCUGAGGAACACCGAUGGCGAAGGCAAUCCCCUGGGCCUGCACUGACGCUCAUGCACGAAAGCGUGGGGAGCAAACAGGAUUAGAUCCCCUGGUAGUCCACGCCCUAAACGAUGUCAACUGGUUGUUGGGGAUUUAUUUUCUCAGUAACGAAGCUAACGCGUGAAGUUGACCGCCUGGGGAGUACGGCCGCAAGGUUAAAACUCAAAGGAAUUGGCGGGG